rnacentral:rRNA from 1 species
GACGAACGCUGGCGGCGUGCUUAACACAUGCAAGUCGAGCGGUAAGGCCCUUCGGGGUACACGAGCGGCGAACGGGUGAGUAACACGUGAGCAAUCUGCCCUCCACAUCGGGAUACCCCCCGGAAACGGGAGCUAAUACCGGAUACGACCACUUCAGGCAUCUGAUGGUGGUGGAAAGUUCCGGCGGUGGAGGAUGAGCUCGCGGCCUAUCAGCUUGUUGGUGGGGUAAUGGCCCACCAAGGCUUCGACGGGUAGCCGGCCUGAGAGGGUGACCGGCCACACUGGGACUGAGACACGGCCCAGACUCCUACGGGAGGCAGCAGUGGGGAAUAUUGGACAAUGGGCGAAAGCCUGAUCCAGCAACGCCGCGUGAGGGAUGACGGCCUUCGGGUUGUAAACCUCUUUCGACAUCGACGAAGCCCUUUUGGGGUGACGGUAGGUGUAGAAGAAGGACCGGCCAACUACGUGCCAGCAGCCGCAGUAAUAC